CAGGUACUGUUUGAGUAUGACAUCAGAUUUGUGUGACACUUCACGGAAGUUGUGCAGUACAUCCAAUUUAUACACACACCGGUGACAAAUAAUUGGUGGUAAAGAAUCCCCAUCUUUUACCUGAAUAAAAUGUUGGACGGAAGCAGAGCUUUCUUUCAAAGAAGAGAGUGUACCGUCUAUGAGAACAAAUAAUAAAUUAUGAAGAGAAAAGAGAAAUAUAUAUAAUAUAGUCAAAUGUGACAGCGACUCGUGGAAUCCGCGUGUGAAACCUGAUAACAGGCCGUCUAAAUAAGGAGCUGCUCCCCUCUCCGUGAGGUCUGUACAAGCGAGGAGUACAGCUUAUCACUGCCAUUUUAAAUCCCCCGUGAGUCGGCUUAUCUCGCGGACACAUCUCUUGCCAAACUUUCUCCCGUGGCACGCGCACACAUACACGCACUCUUGAGAUAGUAAGAGAAAUAGAGAUAGAAGAUGAUAUAGACAGAGACAAACGAAAGCGAGACGAAGAAAGAGAGAUAGGAUUGCGUGUAAAAGAGAGGGAGACACAUUCACAUUCAGAGAACCACAGAUGGUCGCGUCUGAUUUAUCUUCGUCUCGGCACGAGGACCCGGUGAAAACUCCUGACGAGACUCACCGUAAUCGAGAGGCACGUUAAUAUCUUAUCGGCGAAGUUUCGCUGGGCGCCUUCCUCUUCGAAUAUGGACAAUUUGACACCGUCCGACGAUAAACAAAGGCGACACAGCUCGUAGAACUUGGGCGGUACAUCGAACAUAAUUGUGAGCUCCGGCUACGUUGCGCCUUGCGUAAAGCGCGAGUCAUCAAGAGGUAGACUCUUUUCUUGGUCGACGUACUAUCUUUCUCCACUGCCACUACGCGUUUAGCGACGAGGAAGGGUACGCGAUCACUUAUCACAGUCACCGCCGCGGCUCAUUGUCAGCGGCACAGUACACACGGUCAUACAGUUAUACUUGUAUAUAGAGUGGAGACUAUAAAGAAAUGAAUGUUUCUUCAACUUUCUUUUUACAAUCCUGCUCACUAGGAGGCGUUGAUAAUCAUUUCUAUCUUCAAGAUUAGUGAAGAAUCGGGUUCACAAUCAAAUGCUACGCCAUCUUCUGUCUUUUUUCGUUUGGACUAUCUGAUUUUUACAUGGCAGUUUAUAAUUUAAAUUUUUUGAAAUAUAUAAUUAAUAUAUAAAGAAUAAGUAUAAAUAUAUAAUUAUUAUUAUUUAUAUUAUAUAAUUCAUUAAUUCUAUUACCUUUUUGGCAUUAUUUUAACUUCUUUUAUCCUAACAAUUGAUAUUUAUUCUAAUUUUUAGAUUGUUUUCUUUUUUUAUGCAACAAAUAUUUUUUUUAUUGUUUUUUUGUGCACUUUGUAAAAAAUUGUAUUGUAAAAUUGUAAAUUUUUAAUACAGAAAUAUAUAAUAUAUGAUAACUAAGAAUGGUUAUAAUCAAAACUAAAAAUAAUAAAUAAUCUAAUAAAAUUGUUAUAAUAUAAUAUUUAUAUAUAUAUCUUCUUGUUUUUUUUUAUAAAAAAUUCAAAAAUUAAUUUUCAAAAAAGAUAUCAUUAGUAAAAAAUUUAAUCAAUGUUAAAUUAUUUUAUUUAUGGUGGAAAUAAUUGACAAUUCUUUCAAUGCCAUAUAUUGUCAUUGAUCAAAGAUCAGUAAUUAAAUCGAUAGAAGAAACGAGUUUCUUAUCACGUGUCAUUUUACUAGGAAUUUCAUUACAUCGAAUAAGUAGCCCAACCCAUAAAUAAAUCAGGCAAACGGGGAGAAUGACUAACGCAAGAUUACGCGAUCCAUCGACCACUUUCGGCCCACGCUAUUUUAUCACAUCUCUAAUCCGAUCUUCGUACAUAUAAGGUUGUGAUACGGCAAUCAAUAGAUUCUAAGUUUUAUGUUACGAAUUCAUUUUGAUAAAUAUAAUGUAAAAAUAUAAUAAAUUUUCUAAAGGAUUACAAUUUUAAAAAACAA